rnacentral:rRNA from 1 species
GGGUGGUAAUGCCGGAUGCUCCAGUUCAUCGCAUGGUGGUCUGGGAAAGAUUUUAUCGGUAUGGGAUGGGGUCGCGUCCUAUCAGGUAGUCGGCGGGGUAAUGGCCCACCGAGCCUACGACGGGUAGCCGGCCUGAGAGGGCGACCGGCCACAUUGGGACUGAGAUACGGCCCAGACUCCUACGGGAGGCAGCAGUGGGGAAUAUUGCACAAUGGGCGCAAGCCUGAUGCAGCGACGCCGCGUGCGGGAUGACGGCCUUCGGGUUGUAAACCGCUUUUGUUGGGGAGCAAGCCUUCGGGUGAGUGUACCCUUCGAAUAAGCACCGGCUAACUACGUGCCAGCAGCCGCGGUAAU